rnacentral:rRNA from 1 species
AGUGAACGCUGGCGGUAGGCCUAACACAUGCAAGUCGAACGGCAGCACAGUAAGAGCUUGCUCUUACGGGUGGCGAGUGGCGGACGGGUGAGGAAUACAUCGGAAUCUACUUUUUCGUGGGGGAUAACGUAGGGAAACUUACGCUAAUACCGCAUACGACCUACGGGUGAAAGCAGGGGAUCUUCGGACCUUGCGCGAUUGAAUGAGCCGAUGUCGGAUUAGCUAGUUGGCGGGGUAAAGGCCCACCAGGGCGACGAUCCGUAGCUGGUCUGAGAGGAUGAUCAGCCACACUGGAACUGAGACACGGUCCAGACUCCUACGGGAGGCAGCAGUGGGGAAUAUUGGACAAUGGGCGCAAGCCUGAUCCAGCCAUACCGCGUGGGUGAAGAAGGCCUUCGGGUUGUAAAGCCCUUUUGUUGGGAAAGAAAAGCAGCAGGUUAAUACCCCGCUGUUCUGACGGUACCCAAAGAAUAAGCACCGGCUAACUUCGCG